rnacentral:rRNA from 1 species
UACGUAGGUGGCAAGCGUUGUCCGGAAUCAUUGGGCGUAAAGAGCGUGUAGGCGGCCCGGUAAGUCCGCUGUGAAAGUCCAGGGCUCAACCCUGGGAUGCCGGUGGAUACUGUCGGGCUCGAGUCCGGAAGAGGAGUGUGGAAUUCCUGGUGUAGCGGUGAAAUGCGCAGAUAUCAGGAGGAACACCAAUGGCGAAGGCAGCACUCUGGGACGUGACUGACGCUCAUGCACGAAAGCGUGGGGAGCAAACAGG